rnacentral:lncRNA from 1 species
AUACCUCCACAGUUAAGAUUGAAUUGGUCACAGACAGUCACACUGAAUACAAAUUUUGUCGCAAUUAGGCACAGAUAACACAUGUCAAUGACAUAUUGACUUGGUCACGGAUAGUCUGAUCACAAAUAAUACAAAUAUGGUCACAACCUAUAAAUUUGGUUACAUACAACACAGUUAAUCAUAAAACUCAUCAACUACAAUAUAAAACUAUUGCCAGCACACAGUAUUCAAAACGUUGCCAACACCUCACCAC